AACGAACGCUGGCGGCAGGCCUAACACAUGCAAGUCGAGCGCCCUUUCGGGGGAGCGGCGGACGGGUGAGUAACGCGUGGGAAUAUGCCCUUCUCUACGGAAUAGCCUCGGGAAACUGAGAGUAAUACCGUAUACGCCCUGUGGGGGAAAGAUUUAUCGGGGAAGGAUUAGCCCGCGUUGGAUUAGGUAGUUGGUGGGGUAAUGGCCUACCAAGCCGACGAUCCAUAGCUGGUUUGAGAGGCUGAUCAGCCACACUGGGACUGAGACACGGCCCAGACUCCUACGGGAGGCAGCAGUGGGGAAUCUUAGACAAGGGGGGCAACCCUGAUCGAGCCAUGCCGCGUGAGUGAUGAAGGCCUUAGGGUUGUAAAGCUCUUUCAGCUGGGAAGAUAAUGACGGUACCAGCAGAAGAAGCCCCGGCUAACUCCGUG
rnacentral:rRNA from 1 species